CAAAGGCGGGGUGGGGAAGGGCCAAGGAGGGGGGGGCCGGCACUACAGUGUUGGCGGACUGGCGGGAUUGGGGCUGCGUGAGUCUCUGAGCGCAAGCGGGCGGCGGCCGCCCCUCCCCCGGCGGCGGCGGCGGCGACGGCGGCAGCGGCAGCAGCUCACUCAGCCGCUGCCCGAGCGGAAACGCCACUGACCGCACGGGGAUUACCAGCGCCGGCGCCAGGGGCACCUGGGACACGCCCCCUCCCGCCGCGCCAUUGGCUUCUCCGCCCACCGCCCCACACCCAUUGGCCAAUUCGCCGCUAAUCAGCGGAAGCUGCUGCGGCUGCCUAGAGAAGAGGCUGUACUUUGGCGCUCGGGCUCUUUAGAGAACCUCGGCUAGGUAAACACCAACACUAUUUCUCUGCUUAAGUCAUACUGAAUUGAGUACUGUUUACCCAAAUCAUAGUGACACACCACUUUGUAGGAUGAUUCUGGCUGGAAUGCUACCUUUGAUGCUUGUUCCCCUUCAAGACUUAAGGCUCAGUUAAAGUAAUCAUCUCCCCUAUGUUUUUGCCUUCUGUGAUCUAUCAUUCUAAUAGCCAGAUUCCCCUAUAAAAAAGUUAGCAGUGUUUUCCCCUGAUUUCAUAACAAGCAUGUUGAAUCAUAGCUCUUCCCAGGUUGUUGUCAUUGCUUGUUUAAAUUCUCUUAACUACUCUGAGCCACAGGCUCUUGUUGAGUCUUGUACCACUAAACUAGUAUAUUCCUUGAUGUGUAGCCAAUAUUAAGUAAAAUGGAGUGGGUGACGUGUAGAUGUCUUUAUAAGGUUGAUAGAUUAUUGGUCUCAAAUCAUUCUUUGUAUGCUUGCUAGUGCUCUAGAUUGGCACUAUCCAGUAGAAUCUUCUGCAGUAAUGGAAAUGUUCUUUAUCUGUGCUAUCCAAUAUGGUAACCACUAACCAUAUAUUAAUAUUGAGCACUGGAAAUGUGGCUGGUGUGACUAAACUGGAUUUUUAAUUUGUGUAAUUUAAAUUGCCACUAUGGGCAGUGUAGCUGUAGCCACAAGUUUGUGUUGUGGAUUGCAGCGUACUUAAUAUGGACGUUGAUAAUUUCUCUUCAUAUUGAGCAGUGGACUUCUCUGGCCCACUUAAUUUUUUUUUCUCCUGCUUGUUUUAUUUUGCUUGUUUCUGUACUUCCACCGAACCCAGCUGUGAGUUAAUCCAACAAGCCCUUACUAAAGGUAAACCUUCCUUAGACAACAGUGUGUUGAGAAGGUAGGUAUUGACUAGUUUGGAUUUCAAAAGAGAAUGCGUAAUGAAUUUUAGGAAAGUGGAAUUUCAUGAAACCAUAUGGUGAUAGGACUAUAUCUAAUGUAAAUGAAACCAGCCCUAACUUCAUCAGAGGAGGCCCUGAGUAUAAUAUUUUAAGUUACAGGAAGCCACCACAAAGUUGAGUUUCAUCUUGAAGUAUAAAUUAAUAGAUAUAUUUUAACACUAAAAUGCUUUUUAUGUGGUAAAAUAGCAUCUUACAGAUUUCAGUUAUAAUUUUAAAGUUGUUUACUUAAAAUUUUCCCCUAGAACAUGAGACCCCUUGGAUGGGGGUUUUCUAACCUUCAGUGCACACAAUUGACUUGCUUUAUAAUGUAGAUUUCCAUCCCCACCCAGAUAUGAAUUCAGUUGAGACAGAGGGGAGAAGCACUAGAAUUAUAUUCUUUUUCAAAUUCUUAUUUGCUUCUGAUGUUGGCAGCCCAGAAACUACACUGCAAAAACAUCCUGGGGCCAUGGUUUAUCUGACAAAAAUGAUUACAAUUUGAGAAAUACCUCUGAUACAGUGGUUCUCCCUACUUUGUCCCUAAUUUUUUCCUCAACUGAGUUGCUCCCUGCACCCCCGCCCACUUCACGGAAACUUGAAUGGGAAAACAUUUGCAAAGGCAAAGAGUAGUGAAAGUUAAUAUUUUUGGAUUUUGUAGGUCAGAUUGUUUUCCUUUUAAAAGGGAUGUUAAAAUGUUACAAGUAUUUUUUUGAAUAUGAAGGUUCCCAGUUUUUGUCUGUUUUCCCACUAAAUGCAUUCCUCAAAGAUACAGAUUUAUUUUUUGAUUCCCCAGUGCCUGAACACAGAGGUGGGUAUUCAAUAAAUGUUGGUUUUAUUGAUUUGUGAAAUGACUUUUAAGUAAUAGUUUAAUUCCACAAAAGACAGAAACAAGUCUUUUAUGGAGAAACUUCAGGGCCAUACUUAACCUAAGUCUCCUAAUUGGCUAUUCAUAAAGGAAAUUAAUGCCUCAUGGUCUCUGAAUACAUCUGUCCACUGUUCAACCCUUGUUUGGGUUUCCUGUGUGAACCACUGUACUUAUCCUCUUCCUGUUCUUUAACUUCCUUAGGCUUAUAAUAUUUUAAUAAACCAGCAGCCUAUCUCCUUUUGAAGUAGAGCCAUAUUAUUCUAGGACAAAAAUUAAGUAUGUUGCUAGCACUUGCAUGAGAGAGUGAAAGUUUUGAAAGGGCUUUCUUUUUUUUUAGAUGUGCAAAAUUGAACUAUAUAAUGUUGCUUUCAUAUAUUUUUUUUAUGCAUGUAGGAGGUCUGGUUCAUUUGUGGUUUGCAGUUGUUAGUCCAGAAUGUGAUAAGGAUCAUUGGUACAAGGUUAAGACUGGUUUGACCGUUUUACGUCAGUCUUAAUUGUAGAGCACCUUGUUGGGUCACAUCCAGGAGUCUGGUACUUUGCUUUACAGGCUGAGACGUCUUCAGUUUGUUACUUAACCUGGUGGCAUUGUACUUUAUAUUGGAGGUCAUACUUCUACAGAAGCUUUUUUUCCUGAGAAUCUGGAUUGUUACAGAACUGUUCUGUAACAUGAACAGUUUCUACAACAUAUAGGAGCAUGAAGUCAAAUAUUUAGGUUUAUUUUAUUUAGGCCAGGGUUAAACCUGAUGAAUUAUUCCUGCUAUCAUGAUGCAUACCUUCAUGGUGGACUAGAGAGACUAUUUCUGCCUCUGAUUAUAUCUCAAAGUCAUAGUUACAUGUACUAAUUUUCCAGCUUUUUUCCUAGAAUUCAGUCAUCACUGGACCUUCAGUUUGUCCUGGUACUAAAUCACCCUUUCUUUUCUAGUGUUUUUCUUUUUAAAAUAUGUUUAAGAUUGGCUUUCCUGCUGACAAUAGGAAUGUAACACAUUUUCAUAUGUUUAUAGAAUUGGUUAUUUACAAGCUAACUAACCCCAUCUCUAGUAUAUGAAUUUUCAUCAACUUAGUCAAUAGUCCUCAUAGCCUCGUCUUUUCACUGCCCCUUGGUUAAAAUCUCAUACUGUACUUUUUUAUUAUACUACAUAAUGGCAACAUUCUGGUGCACACUAUAGGCGAAAACUAAUGGAAACAGAUGAGUUGAAGAAAUUAAUAUUUAUUGAGUACCAUUGUAGUGUGGUCUUGAUAUGUAAAACCUAGAGUUACAAGGUAGGAAUGAGAGCUCCGUGAGGUUGAACAACUUUUCUGUAGACACAGCAACAAAUUAAGGGCCAGGUAUUCAAACUCUGAUCUGAAUUACGUAAGUUAGUGUUCCUUAUCAGCUUGUGGUACUGCUUUCUCUGAUGGAAACAGCCUUCUAAGAAAUUUAAUCUGGCUGCAGGAUAUAGGAUCGUAGGAAUGGAGAAAUUUGAAGGCAGACCAUUUACUAGUUUCUUUCACAGUAGUCCAGGUGUGAAGUGAUGAGAUCUGGUAAAGCAAUGGCAACCAAAAUGGAAAAGAAGUUAAAGGACUCGAUAACUGACCAAGUCACUGAGAGGGAGGGAGGAUAGUCUUAACACAUCAAUCACUUCUUGAGGAAGUCUUGCUUGGUGCUUCUCCUCUGCUACAUUGGGUCCUCCACUUGAGUUGUCAUAGCAUCUAUCACAGUUGUAAUUAUAAAUUAGUAAUUGAGUAAUUGUUCUGUUUUUACUUUUUAGGUUGCUCCUUGAGGGCAGGACAGUACUUGUACGAUGUCUGUCCAGAAAAAAGUGCAACUGUUUUUAAUAUAACAAGAACAGUUCAUGCGGCAUCACUGUAACCUGACAGCCAAGGAGAGUGGACUGGAAUGCACAUGUGUGAACAAUAAUGACUUCACUGUACUAGUCAGUGGGGGGUGGUGGGUGUUGAGUGAACGUGUGUGCUGUGUGGAUGUUACAUUAAAAGACAGUAAAGCAACAAAUCUGCAUCAAAUUUUGUGUUAAGCUUGAACAUUCCUGCAUGGAAACUGUUUGGAUUAUUCAGAAGGCUUUUGGGGGUGAUGCAGUUAGUGCAGUACAAAUAAAAGUGUGGCAUAAAUACUUCAAAGAUGGUUGGUUGAGAAUGUGUUGAAAGUGAUCCAUGUUCUGGAAGGCUGAAGCCUGAGAAUAUUGAAUGUGUAGAGGCUGCAAUCAACAAAGAUCGGGGAAUUGUUGUGAGGUCCCAAGGUGCCUACUUUCAAGAGGACUGAGGUGUUACUGUCUUAUGUAUAAUGUUUCUUGUAUCAUCCUUAAUAAAUGUUUCUUUUCCGUAGUACAUGGUUUGAUACUUUUUGGACAGACUUUGUAUUAUGGCUGUUUCCCUAUUGCCUAAGCAUAGGGAGGUCUUCGAGGUAAAACUAUUUUCAUAAUAGUAAGCUGUUUCCCUUUUGCAGAAGUGUGCAAAGGCUACGUGAUGUUGGUGUUAAUUGAAGGGUGUAUAUGCAUUCUUGAAUUUCCUAGCAUUUCCUAAGAUGGUAGGUUUAGGGUACAAAUAUUUGUUUUUAGGAAUUAACUCACUUUUUAGGUUAUACCUUCUAUAAUCCCAGCAACCCUCAAUAUUGUACAAUUGUUAAUAUAAAAUUGUUUCCUUUGUGCCUAAGCAUAGACAUAAAAAUGCAUCCUGUUGCCUUGUUAUGCAUGUGCUUUAAAUAUUUGCUCAAAACUUCUAAAUUUAACUACAACUUAUUUUAGAAUUCAAUAACUUAGAAAUCAAUUUAUAUUUUUCUUAUUUAAGACUGGAUCAUUUUCUUAAAAGAUUACACGAUUACCUAUUCAACCCACAGCUUAUGUCUAAAAAUGCUAAAAAGGUAUUGCAGAGUUCUGUUAUAGGAAGAAUCAACUUCAAAGAAAUCAGGAGAAAAAGCUACUGAAAUAAGUUACUGUAUGACAUUGGCUGGAGAAACAGAAUAGCUGAGAAACUACAAAAAGCCAUGUCCAUUUAACACUGCUGAAUGUUGGAUGAAAAGUAAAUCAUAGUGCCACGUUUUAAUACAGUAACUUGUCAUAUUAAAGACUUACAUGCAGAUAUGAAAUCUGUUAAUACCUUUGUAGAAGUGUAUGUUUGCCUUACAAUGGAUCAAUCUACAAAUGAUGGGCUUGUUAUUUUGUACAAUGUAGGACAGAAGUAGGUUUAUAGUUCGUAUGGGAAAUAAUACAAAUUAAGUAUAAAUACAAGAAUAAAAUGUUUUGUGUACUUACAAGUGUAAAUUUCUUUUGCCCCACCCUGUAAUUGUCUUGCACUAGUAUCAACUAAUGAGAUUUUUAAGUGAAAGCUUGGCAACAAAAGAUGUCUCAAAGUAGUUAAAAUGUUGAAUAACAUUUUAAAAUAUGGUUUAUCCUGAUACCUUUACUAAUGGUGAAAAGGCAAAGGUGGGAAAACUGCUGGCAUCUUAGCAUAAAUCAAGGCAGAGGCACAAGACUGUAGUAGU